UCCAGACUCCUACGGGAGGCAGCAGUGGGGGAUAUUGCACAAUGGGGGAAACCCUGAUGCAGCGACGCCGCGUGAGUGAAGAAGUAUUUCGGUAUGUAAAGCUCUAUCAGCAGGGAAGAAAAAAGACGGUACCUGACUAAGAAGCCCCGGCUAACUACGUGCCAGCAGCCGCGGUAAUACGUAGGGGGCAAGCGUUAUCCGGAUUUACUGGGUGUAAAGGGAGCGUAGACGGCGAUGCAAGCCAGAUGUGAAAGCCCGGGGCUCAACCCCGGGACUGCAUUUGGAACUGUGUGGCUGGAGUGUCGGAGAGGCAGGCGGAAUUCCUAGUGUAGCGGUGAAAUGCGUAGAUAUUAGGAGGAACACCAGUGGCGAAGGCGGCCUGCUGGACGAUGACUGACGUUGAGGCUCGAAAGCGUGGGGAGCAAACAGGAUUAGAUACCCCCGUAAAC
rnacentral:rRNA from 1 species